rnacentral:tRNA from 1 species
GCCCCAUUAGCCCAGUGGUCGAAGGCACCUCACUUGUAAUGAGGAGUUCGUCCGUUCGAAUCGGACAUGGGGCUCCA